rnacentral:sRNA from 1 species
AUUUUCUGUUUUCAGAAGUUGCUGGGUUCGUUUUAUUCAGCGGCAGUGGUGCUUUACCGAAUCUCAGAAUGCCUGUUAAAAGAUCACUGAAAUUGGAUGGUCUGUUAGAAGAAAAUUUCUCUCCUCAGAAUACAUCUGAGGAACUUAAUAGAGAAAAAGUAAAUGAUGAAACUACAUUUUAAGCUAAGAAUGGAAAAUAAUUGAAAGAAUUCAAAGUGGCCAAGAUAGGAAAAACCCAGAACUGGUACAGAAUGAUAGUUUUGAAAGUCAAGUUACACCUGACUUGAGACUGAAGAAGUUAAUAUAGAAGGAAGGAAAAGCAGAAUUAAUGAAUACAUCCAAUGCUUCUCAUGGAUUUUAUUUGGCUGAUGCACCUAAUUUCAGUUGUUUUUCAGAAUAAGGACUUUUUCUUUGAGGAAUGUGAGAGAACUCUGAAUUUCACAAUGCAACUCUUCUAAGCAAAUUGGAAAACUGCACUGAAAAUCCUGAAUUUUGACAUGUAGCUCCCUCAAGAGAAAAACUACUAGAUGCUUAAAAAAAUGCUGCUGGGUUUUUACUCUACGAUGAAAAAGAAGGUUAAUUCAAGGAGGACCAAGAUUUCAGAUUUCUCAGGUUGUGCUACAAUAGUCUUUGACCACAAUGCAGAUUUGAUUAAAUCUUGUAAGGAUGCCAUAAAACUGGCAACAGUCACUGGAUACCUGGAUGUGGUGGCCCAUUGACAUCUGGAUGGCUCAAAGGGUCAUUAUAAGAUAAAGGAUUUGGUCCAAUUUAGUCUAGCGAGAGGCAAGUCUAUUUGAGAAAGAGAUAGUAUUCUGUAAAAUAUGAAUGGCACCCAAUGAUGAUACUUUUACUCACCAACUUGAAAGAGCCACAAUAACUUUGAAAUUUUGUACCAUAAUGAACUCGAGAAAUAUAUUCUUCAGGCAGCUUGAAAGAAAUGAAAGAUCAUUGGUUUUCAGGAAUAAAUAAAUUAGUAAAGGAACAUCAAGAUGAUAUUAAAAACUAAAGGAAUGUAUGCAAACCA